rnacentral:rRNA from 1 species
AGUGAACGCUGGCGGUAGGCCUAACACAUGCAAGUCGAACGGCAGCACAGUAAGAGCUUGCUCUUACGGGUGGCGAGUGGCGGACGGGUGAGGAAUACAUCGGAAUCUACUUUUUCGUGGGGGAUAACGUAGGGAAACUUACGCUAAUACCGCAUACGACCUACGGGUGAAAGCAGGGGAUCUUCGGACCUUGCGCGAUUGAAUGAGCCGAUGUCGGAUUAGCUAGUUGGCGGGGUAAAGGCCCACCAAGGCGACGAUCCGUAGCUGGUCUGAGAGGAUGAUCAGCGACACUGGAACUGAGACACGGUCAAGACUCCUACGGGAGGCAGCAGUGGGGAAUAUUGGACAAUGGGCGCAAGCCUGAUCCAGCCAUCCCGCGUGGGUGAAGAAGGCCUUCGGGUUGUAAAGCCCUUUUGUUGGGAAAGAAAAGCAGCAGGUUAAUACCCCGCUGUUCUGACGGUACCCAAAGAAUAAGCACCGGCUAACUUCGUG